GUUGUUGCUGGCUGUUACCAGGACAACCGGAGGCGAUUGACCGUUAUCUGCGGUUUGCAGCCGUUAGCGGGAGAGGCAGAGAAGUUCAGAGGUCUUUUAGGAUGUGCUAAAGGGUCGUGAGGGCUCUCUCAAGAUUUUCCUCACAAUAGGUUAUCCAGUCGUGCCCCUUGGCCCAGCCGCUGGCCCCGGGGAUCUGAGUCGCACCCUCUUUGUUUUUCUCUGAGUCUGUCUUAAGGUGAAAUGAAGUGUGGCCCAGUGGCUCCUCAUUGUCGCUUCUCUAGUUUUCUGCCUCCUUUUAGAAAAUUGAAUUGAGAAGACAGGAUGAAGUGGACACAGCAUGUGAAGACAAUUCUUUCAAGAAGUUUGGCUGUCAAGGAAAAUAGAGAAUGUGAGUAGCCGAAGGAGAAUGACAGGCGAAAGAAAGAAAUUGGGAGCCAGACAAUACAGCCGGACAGUUUACACCUGUAUUGAUGUUCCACCUUUUUCACAAAAGAUUGAGUAUGCUUGGGGAAAAACUACACACUAUCAUAGGAGAAAAUGAUUGGAAGAGAAACUGAGGCAAAGGUAAAUGGAAAACAAAAUAAAGCCAGGAGUAUGUUAAUACCCCAAAACUUCAUACCAAAAGGUCCAUGUAAUUACUAGAGGGGUGCCACAGAUUGGGCUCUGAGGUUCCUAGCAACUAAACCAAAGGAAAAAUAUAGUUAUAACUUUCACAUGAUCCAUAUGGGGGGGUCUAAUGGCAUAUUAUAGAAUCCUGUUACACAUUAGCUGUAUGAAAUUGAUUGGGUAAUGUAAGCUCUUUAGACCUCUUUUCUCCAUCUCUUAAAGAGUGGGGAGAGGAAGAAGAAGACCGUUAGACGAGUUGAUCUUUUAAUAUCUCUUCCACCACUGACAGUCUAUGAUCACACAGGCCAGAGAUGGCAAACUCAAAUGCCUAAAUUAGGGACUAAGAAAGUUUCAUAAGUGAGGAAAUGGACUGAAUGUGACAAAAGCAAGGAGUGAUAGAGAUUAGAAUGGUAGACUUGAUUGAGCUGUCCCAUCUAAAACUCCAGCCAGUUCUUGCAAGAAUAAGGAUUCAGUGUUGCCAGAUAUUCUGAUUUUUCAGGAGAAACAGAAAAAUCAUAUUUGCGAUAAUAUUAUACAAAACAAAACACCUCUACUGGCUAGAUACAAUUCAUGAGUCACUAAUUUUCAACCUCUGCUAUAGGUGAAAGGACCUCAACAAGAGGGAUAAUUGUUUGAAUUAAAGAAUUAAGUAUGAAAAAAGAGGAAGAAGUCAAAAAGAAUACCAAGAUUUCCCCUUGGUAAUAAGGAGGAGGUAGUAACAUUGAUACUAAAAUCAGCAGAAGGUUUGGGGAGAGAAGGUGCUUGAUUGUGAGUUUCUUGAACAUGGGGCAAACUUAUUCAUAUGUAUCCAUAGCACAUGAAUCCAGUUCAGCUGUUGGGUUUGAGAAAUCUGUGGGAUUUAUCAGGGAAAAGGGUGCAGGAAUGUAGGUCAGGAGUUUGGGGAAAGAAGAUGAAAAAGGAGUUUAAGAUGUAAGAUUCAUUCUUUCAAUAAAGUUUUAUUAAUUAUAUAUCACAAUAUGUAUUUUCAUGAGACUCUAAACUGUCUGAGGGCAGAAACCACGGUUUUUUUUAACCACUUACCCAGCUCCUAGCACAAUACAGAGUCAGUGCUUAUGUAUGUUGAAUAAACAAAUGAAAAAAUACAAAACACAAUGCUUUACAGUAUAGAAGAUGCAGAGUUGAAUUAGAAAAUCUUAAGGGAACAAGAAACACUGGGGUCUACUUGAGGGUGGAGGGUGGGAGCAUGGAGAGGAGCAGAAAAAAUAUGGGGUACUAGGCUUAAUACGUGGGUGAUGAAAUAAUCUUUACAACAAACCUUCAUGCGUACCCCCAAACCUAAAAUAAAAGUUUUAAAAGAAGAAAAUCUUCUUAAAGAAGUUUAUAGAGCAGGGGCCC
ensembl:lncRNA